rnacentral:rRNA from 1 species
GGAGUACGGCCGCAAGGCUAAAACUCAAAGGAAUUGACGGGGGCCCGCACAAGCGGCGGAGCAUGCGGAUUAAUUCGAUGCAACGCGAAGAACCUUACCAAGGCUUGACAUGAACCGGACCGCCGCAGAAAUGUGGUUUCCCCUUUGGGGUCGGUUUACAGGUGGUGCAUGGUUGUCGUCAGCUCGUGUCGUGAGAUGUUGGGUUAAGUCCCGCAACGAGCGCAACCCUCGUUCUAUGUUGCCAGCACGUGAUGGUGGGGACUCAUAGGAGACUGCCGGGGUCAACUCGGAGGAAGGUGGGG